rnacentral:tRNA from 1 species
CUAUCAGUAAUUUAAAAGAAAAAAUAAUAAACAUCGGAUUUACUAAUACAAGUUCAAUUCCUGUCUGAUAAA